rnacentral:rRNA from 1 species
GACGAACGCUGGCGGCGUGCCUAAUACAUGCAAGUAGAACGCACAGUUUAUACCGUAGCUUGCUACACCAUAAACUGUGAGUUGCGAACGGGUGAGUAACGCGUAGGUAACCUGCCUGGUAGCGGGGGAUAACUAUUGGAAACGAUAGCUAAUACCGCAUAAUAUUAAUUAUUGCAUGAUAAUUGAUUGAAAGAUGCAAUUGCAUCACUACCAGAUGGACCUGCGUUGUAUUAGCUAGUAGGUGAGGUAACGGCUCACCUAGGCGACGAUACAUAGCCGACCUGAGAGGGUGAUCGGCCACACUGGGACUGAGACACGGCCCAGACUCCUACGGGAGGCAGCAGUAGGGAAUCUUCGGCAAUGGACGAAAGUCUGACCGAGCAACGCCGCGUGAGUGAAGAAGGUUUUCGGAUCGUAAAGCUCUGUUGUAAGAGAAGAACGGGUGUGAGAGUGGAAAGUUCACACUGUGACGGUAUCCGACCAGAAAGGGACGGCUAACUACGUG